rnacentral:rRNA from 1 species
AGCGCAGGUGGUUUCUUAAGUCUGAUGUGAAAGCCCACGGCUCAACCGUGGAAGGUCAUUGGAAACUGGGGAACUUGAAUGCAGAAGAGGAGAGUGGAAUUCCAUGUGUAGCGGUGAAAUGCGUAGAUAUAUGGAGGAACACCAGUGGCGAAGGCGACUCUCUGGUCUGUUAUUGACACUGAGGCUCGAAAGCGUGGGAGCAAACA